rnacentral:rRNA from 1 species
AGUGGCGACCGGGUGAGUAACACGUGACUAACCUACCCUUGAGUGGGGGAUAACCUCGGGAAACCGGGGCUAAUACCGCAUAAAGUCUUUGGAGUGGGAACUCUGGGGACCAAAGGAGCAAUUCGCUUAAGGAGGGGGUCGCGGCUGAUUAGCUAGUUGGCGGGGUAAUGGCCCACCAAGGCGAUGAUCGGUAGCCGGCCUGAGAGGGCGCACGGCCACACUGGAACUGAAACACGGUCCAGACUCCUACGGGAGGCAGCAGUGGGGAAUUUUGCGCAAUGGGGGAAACCCUGACGCAGCAACGCCGCGUGGAGGAUGAAGUCCCUUGGGACGUAAACUCCUUUCGACCGGGACGAUAAUGACGGUACCGGUGGAAGAAGCCCCGGCUAACUUCGUGCCAGCAGCCGCGGUAAUACGAGGGGGGCAAGCGUUGUUCGGAAUUAUUGGGCGUAAAGGGCGCGUAGGCGGUGCGGUAAGUCACCUGUGAAAUCUCCGGGCUUAACUCGGAGCCUGCAGGCGA